AGCAGCCGUGGUAAUUCCAGCUCCAAUAGCGUAUAUUAAAGUUGUUGCAGUUAAAAAGCUCGUAGUUGAAUUUCGGGAUCAGUACGCUGGUCGUGCCUUUGGUAUGUACUGGUGUCACUGAUUCCUCCCUUCUGAAGAACCGUUAUGCCAUUUAUUUGGUGUGGCGGGGAAUCAGGACUGUUACUUUGAAAAAAUUAGAGUGUUUAAAGCAGGCUCGCGCUUGAAUACAUUAGCAUGGAAUAAUGAAAUAGGACGUUUGAUCUUAUUUUGUUGGUUUCUAGGAUCGACGUAAUGAUUAAUAGGGAUAGUUGGGGGCAUUAGUAUUCAAUUGUCAGAGGUGAAAUUCUUGGAUUUAUUGAAGACUAACUACUGCGAAAGCAUUUGCCAAGGAUGUUUUCAUUAAUCAAGAACGAAAGUUAGGGGAUCGAAGACGAUCAGAUACCGUCGUAGUUUUAACCAUAAACUAUGCUGACUAGGGAUCGGAUGAUGUUAUUUUUAAUGACUCA
rnacentral:rRNA from 1 species